AGGCGAUGACGGGUAGGGGGUGUGAGAGCACGACCCCCCACAAUGGGACUGAGACACGGCCCAUACUCCUACGGGAGGCAGCAGCAGGGAAUAUUGCACAAUGGACGGAAGUCUGAUGCAGCGACGCCGCGUGGAUGAUGAAGGCCCUCGGGUUGUAAAAUCCUUUUCAGGGGGACGAGGCAGGACGGUACCCUUGGAAUAAGCGUCGGCUAACUACGUGCCAGCAGCCGCGGUAAGACGUAGGACGCAAGCGUUAUCCGGAUUUACUGGGCGUAAAGCGUCUGUAGGCGGAGUGGUAAGUUGGGCGUGAAAGCUCCGGGCUUAACUCGGAGAGGACGUUCAAUACUGCCAAACUAGAGGACAUCAGAGGAGCGUGGAAUUUCCGGUGUAGCGGUAAAAUGCGCAGAUAUCGGAAGGAACACCAAUGGCGAAGGCAGCGCUCUGGGAUGGACCUGACGCUAAGAGACGAAAGCUAGGGGAGCGAACAGGAUUAGAGACCCUGGUAGUCCUAGCCCUAAACGAUGGAUGCUAGGUGUAGGGCCGCAAGGCUCUGUGCCGGAGCAAACGCGAUAAGCAUCCCGCCUGGGGAUUACGGCCGCAAGGCUAAAACUCAAACGAAUUGACGGGGCCCCGCACAAGCAGCGGAGCGUGUGGUUUAAUUCGAUCCUACACGAAGAACCUUACCUGGGUUUGACAUACAAGUGGUAAUGAAGCGAAAGCUAAGUGACCCUUCGGGGAGCUUGUACAGGGCUGCAUGGCUGUCGUCAGCUCGUGCCGUGAGGUGUCGGGUUAAGUCCCGUAACGAGCGCAACCCUUACCCUUAGUUACAAGUGUCUAAGGGGACUGCCGGCGGUAAGCCGGAGGAAGGUGGGGAUGACGUCAAGUCAGCAUGGCCCAUAUGUCCAGGGCUACACACACGCUACAAUGGUUGGUACAAAGGGCAGCUAAGCCGCGAGGUGGAGCGAAUCCCAACAAAGCCAAUCGUAGUUCGGAUUGCAGGCUGCAACUCGCCUGCAUGAAGCUGGAGUUGCUAGUAACCGCGCGUCAGCUAUAGUGCGGUGAAUACGUUCCCGGGGCUUGUACACACCGCCCGUCACGUCAUGGAAGUUGGUAACGCCUGAAGCUGGUAGCCUAGCGCGCAAGCGGGGGCGCCAUCGAAGGCGGGGCUAGCAACUGGGACGAAGUCGUAACAAGGUAGCGGUACCGGAAGGUGCGGCUG
rnacentral:rRNA from 1 species